rnacentral:rRNA from 1 species
CAGUAGCCACGGGAAUACGAGGGGUGCAAGCGUUAUUCGGAUUUACUGGGCGUAAAGCGCACGUAGGCGGAUUCUUAAGUCAGAGGUGAAAUCCCAAGGCUCAACCUUGGAACUGCCUUUGAUACUGGGGAUCUUGAGUUCGGGAGAGGUGAGUGGAACUGCGAGUGUAGAGGUGAAAUUCGUAGAUAUUCGCAAGAACACCAGUGGCGAAGGCGGCUCACUGGCCCGAUACUGACGCUGAGGUGCGAAAGCGUGGGGAGCAAACAGGAUUAGAGACCCCAGUAGUCCCUGUCUCUUAUAC